CAAUUAUUACUUAAUAUACACAUGCAAGUCUCCGCACCCCUGUGAAAACGCCCUUAAAUCCCCACUAGGGAUAAGGAGCUGGUAUCAGGCACAAUACUUAGCCCAAGACACCUAGCUAUGCCACACCCACACGGGAAUUCAGCAGUGAUUAACAUUGAAAAUAAGCGACAGCUUGACUCAGUUAAAGUAAAAAGAGCCGGCAAAUCUGGUGCCAGCCGCCGCGGUUACACCAUGUGGCCCAAAUUGACCCCCUUCGGCGUAAAGCGUGAUUAAAGUUUUUACUAAAUUAUAGCUGAACUAAAACUAAGCUGUGACACGCUUGUAUUUAGGAAAAUCAAAAACGAAAGUUACUGUAAUUAAAACAACUUGAACCCACGACAGUUGAGACACAAACUGGGAUUAGAUACCCCACUAUGCUUAACCGUAAACUUUAAAUUACACCGAUAUCGCCUGGGAACUACGAGCAAAGCUUAAAACCCAAAGGACUUGACGGUACCCCACAUCCCCCUAGAGGAGCCUGUCCUGUAAUCGACAACCCCCGUUCAACCUCACCAUUUUUAGCCUAUCAGCCUGUAUACCUCCGUCGUCAGCUUACCACGUGAGCGACCCUAAGUGAGCCUAAUGCCCACACGCCAACACGUCAGGUCAAGGUGCAGCAAAUAAAAUGGGAAGAGAUGGGCUACACUCUCUACUGUAGAAGAUACGAAAGACUAUUUAUGAAACCUAGUCGAAAGGCGGAUUUAGUAGUAAAAAGAGACAAGAGCGCUCUUUUUAACACGGCACUGGGGUGUGUACACACCGCCCGUCACCCUCUUCGAAGCUAACAGAAAGUCCAUAACACACCUAAGCACGAUAGAAGAGGCAAGUCGUAACAUGGUAAGUAUACCGGAAGGUGUGCUUGGAAACAAAAUAUAGCUUAACCAAAGCAU
rnacentral:ncRNA from 1 species